rnacentral:sRNA from 1 species
GGGUUCUGAAAAUGAGGAACCAGGACUUGCAGAGUAGGCAGUUGCUGGAGGAAGAAUGUGAGCUGCAUGGGAAAAGACAGGAGGAUUUACAAAGAGUGGGUGUUUAAUUGGGGAUGGAAUUAGACUUCUGAGAAGUUCCAGAAAAUAAAUCAGAUGGUGUGUAACAGCGACCGUGUGCUCAAAAGAAGUGCUGAAGGAAGCAACCCUCCUAAACCGCUGAAAAAACUACGCUUUGAUAUUGAAGGAUCAGAUGAAGCAGAUGGAAGUAAACAUCUCCCAGGAGAGUCCAAAUUUCAGCAGAAACUGGCAGAAAUGACUUCUACUCGAACACGAAUGCAAAAGCAGAAAAUGAAUGAUAGCAUGGAUACCUCAAACAAGGAAGAGAAAUGAGGAUCUCAGGACCUUGGUGGAUACUGUGUACACCUCUGGAUUCAUUGUCUCUGACAGAUGUGACUGUAUAACUUUCCCAGGUUCUGUUUAUGGCCACAUUUAAUAUCUUCAGCUCUUUUUGUGGAUAUAAAAUGUGCAGAUGCAAUUGUUUGGGUGAUUCCUAAGCCACUUGAAACGUUAGUCAUUGUUAUUUAUACAAGAUUGAAAAUCUUGUGUAAAUCCUGCCAUAUAAAAAGUUGUAGCAGAUUGUUUCCUCUUCCAAAGUAAA